ACUAUGGCAUGGACCCUCAUCCUCGAGCCCCACUACUCAGAGGAGCUGGGAAGAAUUUCCACCCUUCCUAGUGGCAAGUCUCACUGUGAGAGCGGAGUGCCACCAGGCAAACAGGGCAGAAAGACUGCUUUAAGGAGAAUCCUUAUAUUGGGGGUUAUGAAGUGCAAUACACCCUCAUCCUCACGCUAACACUGGUACCAUGUAGCCCAAGCUUGUCUAACCUGCAGCCCGCGGGCUGUGUAUGGCCCAGGACAGCUCUGAAUGUGGCCCAACGCAAAUUUGUAAACUUUCUAAAACAUUAUGAGAUUUUUUUUUCUCAUCAGCUAUCAUCAGUGUGAGUGUAUGUUAUUUGUGACUCAAGACAAUCCUUCUUUUCCAAUGUGGCCCAGAGAAGCCAAAAGACUGGACACCCCUGAUGUGGCCCUUUCAUCCAUAGUAGCCUAUUUUGUCCUAAAGACGGUCUUGUGCAGUGAGUAGGCCAGGCCUCCCCACUACCACAGUUUACAGGCAAGGAAUGUGAUAUUUCAUAGGAUGACCCUGACUGGCACCUACAUUGCUAGCCAAAGAAUGGCACAAAGAUGUGGACAGAAGAGACAACCUUAAGCAGCUGACUGCUGGCUCCUGCAACAGUAUCAUCAUGGCAUUUGUCCUGGGGUCCCAAGGAAAGAAAACAAAUCUGUGGCUGAGGAACAGACUGAGUUGACAAAGCAGCUUCCACAGUAACACAAGGACAAAGGGUGUAUGUAGAUAUGCACGUGGUAGCAGGUUCUACUAAAGGAACCUGGACCGACCAUUCUCACUCACAUUCUUUGGGAGCUGUAUUCUAAUACUUUCAGAAAAGCCAUGGGAACACACCAGAGUGACUGCUCGAGUAAAUAAGUAGCAUAAACAGCAAGCCAAACCAUUGAUGUACACAUCACUGGGCCCAAUACUAUGAAAUCCCACAUAAGAAACUUGAAAGUGAAAGCUGGAAUUCUGAGGAUACUGGUUUUGCUUAAUAAACAGCAUUUCAACAGUUAUUGUCAUGAUAUUGCUACUGAUGCUGAACAAAGACCCAAGAACCAGGGUGAUGUUUAGCAUGGGCUGGCCUCAGCAGGACUGAAAGGACAUCAAUAAGGGAGAACAGAGAGAAGGAAGGAGGACAAGUGCCAACUUUGAGCAGCACUCAGCAACGGAUGUUCAAUGGGGUUCACACCAUGGUUGCAGUUUGGGGGAAAGAACCCUUGGAGAGAAAGCAAGAACCACAAGAAUCACUGAAUCAUGGGUUAGAGGAGCCCUCCAAAAUCACCUCCUUCAAUCCUCUUCCUAAUUUCUGUGUGAGCACUGGCCAUUUAAUUUAUGUUUCUGGGCCUCAGUUCCCCUGUCCGUUAAAUAAACAGGUUGAAUUAAAUACAA
rnacentral:lncRNA from 1 species